rnacentral:rRNA from 1 species
CACGUAGGGCGCGAGCGUUGUCCGGAAUUAUUGGGCGUAAAGAGCUCGUAGGCGGCCUGUUGCGUCCGCUGUGAAAGCCCGGGGCUUAACCCCGGGUCGGCAGUGGAUACGGGCAGGCUAGAGGUAGGUAGGGGGCAAUGGAAUUCCCGGUGUAGUGGUGGAAUGCGUAGAUAUCGGGAGGAACACCAGUGGCGAAGGCGGUUGCCUGGGGCUUUGCUGACGCUGAGGCGCGAAAGCGUGGGGAGCGAUCCGG